CUCACCGCCGCCAUUAGGAGCCCGCUGCGUCCGAGGCAGCCUCCCCUCCUCGCUCCCCCCUCCCCUCGGCGUCCCCCCGCCUCCGCGCCUGCUCUCCGCCCCUCUGCCCCCGCCUCCGGCAGCGGGAGCCGCGCGCGGGUCCGCGGAGACCAUGUCCUGACUGUGGGGAGAGGGCGGAGGCGGCAGCAGCGGGGCGGGCGGAGGCGCGGAGGGAGGCGGAGAGGGGCCGGGCUCGGCUCGUCGCCGCGGGCUGCUCGGGGGGGAGUCGCCGCCGCCGCCGCCGCCGCCGCCGCGGCUGCCGGGCGCCGAGCGUCGGACGGGGAGGAGGAGCAGGAGCUGGAGGAGGAGCUGCCGCCAGGAGAUGCAGGUUCGAUCCCUGAGUUGGGACAAUCCCCUGGAGAAGGAAAUGGCAGCCCAUGUCAGUAUUCUUGCUUGGAGAAUCCCAUGGACAGAGGAGCCUGGUGGCAGGCUACAAUCCAUGGGGUCACACAAAGUUGGACACGGUGUAGAGACUAAGCAACAUUAUCAGCAUAAUUCUUUCUAUAGAGGAUGCUUAACAUUUUGAUAAUGAUCAUUGUGUUAUUCAAAUAAAAGGACUGUGGCCUCCCAGGACCCUCUGUCCAUGAGAUUUCCCAGGCAAGAAUACUGGAGUGGAUUGCUGUUUCCUUCUCCAGAGGAUCUUCCCGAUCCAGGGAUUGAACCUGUGUCAGCUGCACUGCAGGCAGAUUCUUCACCACUGAGCCACCAGGGAAGUGUACAG
ensembl:lncRNA